GAAACCAACAGGGAUUGCCUCAGUAACGGCGAGUGAAGCGGCAAGAGCUCAAAUUUGAAAUCUGGCUCCUUCGGGGCCCGAGUUGUAAUUUGCAGAGGAUGCUUCGGGGGUGGUCGCCGCCUAAGUCCCCUGGAACGGGGCGUCAGAGAGGGUGAGAAUCCCGUCUUUGGUGGGCUGAUCGCUCCCGGGUGAAGCUCCUUCGACGAGUCGAGUUGUUUGGGAAUGCAGCUCUAAGCGGGUGGUAAAUUUCAUCUAAAGCUAAAUAUUGGCUGGAGACCGAUAGCGCACAAGUAGAGUGAUCGAAAGACGAAAAGUACUUUGAAAAGAGAGUUAAACAGCACGUGAAAUUGUUGAAAGGGAAGCGCUGGCCGCCAGAUUCGGCCUUGAGGGCUCACUGAGCAUGCUUGCUUAGGCACUCCCUCAGGGUCGGGUCAGCAUCGGUUCAGGCGGUCGGUCAAAGGCCCUCGGAAUGUGUCGCCUCUCGGGGCGUCUUAUAGCCGGGGGUGCAAUGCGGCCUGCCCGGAUCGAGGAACGCGCUUCGGCACGGAUGCUGGCAUAAUGGCGGUCAGCGGCCCGUCUUGAAACACGGACCAAGGAGUCUAACAUCCACGCGAGUGUUCGGGUGUCAAACCCGUCCGCGCAGUGAAAGCGAACGGAGGUGAGAGCCCCUGAGGGUGCAUCAUCGACCGAUCCUGAAGUCUUCGGAUGGAUUUGAGUAGGAGCGUGGCUGUGGGGACCCGAAAGAUGGUGAACUAUGCCUGAAUAGGGUGAAGCCAGAGGAAACUCUGGUGGAGGCUCGCAGCGGUUCUGACGUGCAAAUCGAUCGUCAAAUUUGGGUAUAGGGGCGAAAGACUAAUCGAACCAUCUGGUAGCUGGUUCCUGUCGAAGUUUCCCUCAGGAUAGCAGUAACGUUUUCAGUUUUAUGAGGUAAAGCGAAUGAUUA
rnacentral:rRNA from 2 species